rnacentral:rRNA from 1 species
CCUACGGGAGGCAGCAGUAGGGAAUCUUGUGCAAUGGGCGAAAGCCUGACACAGCAACUCCGCGUGCGGGAAGAAGGCCUUAGGGUUGUAAACCGCUUUUGGCAGGAACGAAAAUGACGGUACCUGCAGAAUAAGGUGCGGCCAACUACGUGCCAGCAGCCGCGGUGACACGUAGGCACCAAGCGUUGUCCGGAUUUAUUGGGCGUAAAGAGCUCGUAGGCGGUUCAGUUAGUCGGGUGUGAAAACUCUGGGCUUAACCCGGAGACGCCACUCGAUACUGCUGGGCUAGAAUUCGGUAGGGGAGUGGGGAAUUCCUGGUGUAGCGGUGAAAUGCGCAGAUAUCAGGAGGAACACCGGUGGCGAAGGCGCCACUCUGGGCCGACAUUGACGCUGAGGAGCGAAAGCGUGGGUAGCAAACAGGAUUAGAUACCCUGGUAGUCCACGCCGUAAACGGUGGGCACUAGGUGUGGGUUCCAACCAACGGAACUCCGUGCCGUCGCAAACGCGUUAAGUGCCCGCCGUGGGGAGUACGGCCGCGAAGGUUAAAACCUUAAAGGAAUUGACGG